CAGUACAGUAGGAUUGGGCAUCAAUAACUGAUUCCUACAUGGAAUCGUUUCAAAAAUUACGAUUCCAGUAGAAUCGGUUCUUCAUUGGAAUCGUUUGGAGGAUUUUGGCUUCAAAUCCGAUCCUCGCUUCCCAAUUUAACAUGCGCAAGUUUUGAUUUACGCCAGGCGCUUGUUGUGUUGCAGCUUUGGAACGCAGUAAGCGGCGCUCUAGUGAGGCUUUAUUUUACAUCGAAAAAGCCCUGUAACACUGCA